AUGCCCGCCAAGCUUCUCCGGACGCCCACCGCCCGGCGACGCCACCACUUGCCGGUGCUGCAUCUCGUUGCCGUCCUCCUGCUUGUGCCGCUCUCACGGCCGGCCUCGGCGUCGGCGUCGACGGUGGUCACCCACCUGCCAGGAUUCGAUGGCCCUCUCCCCUUCUACCUCGAAACCGGAUACGUGGGCGUGGAGGAGGAGACCGGGGCGGAGCUCUUCUACUACUUCGCCAAGUCGGAGCGGAGCCCCGGCACCGACCCCGUCAUCCUGUGGCUCACCGGCGGGCCUCGCUGCUCGGGCUUCAGCGGCUUCGCCUUCGAAGUUGGCCCCGUAAAGUAUGUGCGGGCGCCGUACACUGGAGUUUUGCCGCGGCUGGUACAGAACCCGCUGUCAUGGACCAAGAUGGCGAGCAUCAUCUUCCUGGAUUCGCCCGUCUGCUCGGGCUUCUCGUAUGCUCGUGACCCCAAAGGCUGCGAUGUCGGAGACUACUCGUCCUCUCUGCAAGUCCAAAGAUUCCUGAAUAAGUGGUUCACUCAUCACCCGCAGUACCUUUCAAAUCCUUUCUACCUUGGAGGAGAUUCAUACGCUGGAAAGGUGAUUCCACUUAUUGCAACAUACAUGUCACAAGGAACUGAAAAAAGGGACCAGCCUCUCAUUAAUCUCAAGGGCUACCUGAUCGGCAAUCCUAUAACAGAACCAAAGUUCGAUAAAAAUUUCCAAGUUCAAGGGGCUCAUGGCUUUGGGAUAAUAUCUGACCAAAUAUAUGAGGCUGCAAUGAAAAACUGCAAAGGAAAUUAUGUAAACCCCACGAAUCAACUGUGUGCUGAGGUGCUAGAAACUGUAGACAGUCUCAUUUCUGAAAUCGCAGAUGCACAUGUCUUGUAUAAAAAAUGUGUCGUCGCCAUUCCAGAGCCCAUAGAUGAUGCCAUAAGAAGAAAAUUCCUGCUAGAAGAAUCAAUCGAGCCAAAUGAAGCGCCUGGUCGACCUACCGUCGAUUGUUUUACAUACGGUUACUACCUGGCAUACUUGUGGAUGAACAACAAGAUGACUAGAGAUGCUCUCAGGAUCAAGGAGGGAACAGUUGGCGAGUGGGUGAGAUGCAAAAAAGAAGUCCCCUACACACAGGACAUGCCAAGCAGCAUACCGUACCAUCGCAAUCUCACCACAAGAGGUUACCGUGCACUUGUGUACAGCGGAGACCAUGAUCUCCAGGUGCCUCAGCUCAGUACGCAGGCGUGGAUAAGAUCUUUGAACUUCUCCAUUGUCGAUGACUGGAGGGCAUGGCAUCUCGACGGCCAGGCUGCAGGGUUGAGUCACCUGACUCCCUUUUUUGCACUUGAGCAUAUGCAAAAUAAGAUAUUCGUGACAUAUGCAUUUUUUUCUGAUGAGCAAUACAUUGUUUCUUUCUUUGCAGAUUUACCAUCACAUAUGCAAAUAAGUUGA
rnacentral:rRNA from 1 species